rnacentral:rRNA from 1 species
UGAAUACGAGGCACUAAGGUGCUGAAGUAGUGUAUGUCAUACUUCCAAGAAAAGCUUGCACUAUCGUAAGAUAAAAAUGCCUGUACCAUAACCGACACAGGUGGGUAGGUAGAGUAUACUAAGGGGCGCGAGAUAACUCUCUCUAAGGAACUCGGCAAAAUAACUCCGUAACUUCGGGAGAAGGAGUGCCUUAUUCUAUAAGGUUGCAAUAACAAGAUCCAAGCAACUGUUUAUCAAAAACACAGGUCUCCGCUAAGUCGUAAGACGAUGUAUGGGGGCUGACGCCUGCCCAGUGCCAGAAGGUUAAAGAAGUCGGUUAGCAAUUGCGAAGCUGGUAACUGAAGCCCUGGUGAACGGCGGCCGUAACAAUAACGGUCCUAAGGUAGCGAAAUUCCUUGUCGGGUAAGUUCCGACCCGCACGAAAGGCGUAAUGAUUUGGAUACUGUCUCGGAGAGGGACUCGGUGAAAUAGACUUGUCUGUGAAGAUGCGGACUACCUGCACCAGGACAGAAAGACCCUAUGAAGCUUUACUGUAACUUGAAAUUGAAAUUGGACUUUAUUCGCGCAGUAUAGGUGGGAGGCGUUGAUUAUAAUCUUGUGGGAUUAUUGGAGCCAUUAGUGAGAUACCACUCUUGUAAUGUUAGAUUUCUAACUUUGAAUCAUGAUCUGGUCAAAGAACAGUUUCAGGCGGGCAGUUUGACUGGGGCGGUCGCCUCCUAAAUGGUAACGGAGGCGUACAAAGGUUUCCUCUGAACGGGUAGAAAUCGUAUCUAGAGUGUAAAGGCAUAAGGAAGCUUGACUGUGAGACCUACAAGUCGAGCAGGGACGAAAGUCGGUCUUAGUGAUCCGACGGUACUGAGUGGAAAGGCCGUCACUCAACGGAUAAAAGUUACUCUAGGAUAACAGGCUGAUCUCCCCCAAGAGUUCACAUCGACGGGGAGGUUUGGCACCUCGAUGUCGGCUCAUCGCAUCCUGGGGCGGUAGUACGUCCCAAGGGUUGGGCUGUUCGCCCAUGAAAGCGGUACGCGAGCUGGGUUCAGAACGUCGUGAGACAGUUCGGUCCAUAUCCGGUGUAGGCGUUAGAGUAUUGAGAGGAGCCUUCUUUAGUACGAGAGGACCGAGAAGGACAUACCUCUGGUGUACCAGUUAUCGUGCCAACGGUAAACGCUGGGUAGCUAUGUAUGGAGUGGAUAACCGCUGAAAGCAUCUAAGUGGGAAGCCCACCUCAAGAUAAGUAUUC